GGACGCCAACUCCCAGAGGAGUCCUGUCCACCCGAGGGCCAGUGAGUCGGGGAAGAGGACUUCUCACUCCCAGAGCAAGAGGAGUCCCCCCAACUGGGUACAGACCUCCACCGCCACCCCCGACACAAGAGACUUAUGGAGAAUAUGACUAUGAUGAUGGAUAUGGCACUGCUUAUGAUGAACAGAGUUAUGAUUCCUAUGAUAACAGCUAUAGCACCCCAGCCCAAAGUGGUGCUGAUUACUAUGAUUACGGACAUGGACUCAGUGAGGAGACUUAUGAUUCCUACGGGCAAGAAGAGUGGACUAACUCAAGACACAAGGCACCUUCAGCGAGGACAGCAAAGGGCGUCUACAGAGACCAGCCAUAUGGCAGAUACUGAUUGUACUGUCUGAUGUUGUGAAAUAGCCAAUCUCCACCAGUCCUGUAUACUGUUCAAAGUAAUUUUUUUCUAUGAACAAUCCCUUUUUAAAUAAAUCAGAAUGCUUAAAAUCUGAAUGGAUGGAACUUAAAACUACUUUGUUGAAACAUCAACCUGGGCAGAAAAAAAAAAAAAAAGACAUGUAAAAUUUUGUUAUUUCCAGUCUGUAUAUGAAAAAAUAGGUCAUC
rnacentral:lncRNA from 1 species